rnacentral:rRNA from 1 species
UACGAAGGGGGCUAGCGUUGCUCGGAAUUACUGGGCGUAAAGCGCACGUAGGCGGUCUUUUAAGUCAGAGGUGAAAUCCUGGAGCUCAACUCCAGAACUGCCUUUGAUACUGAGAGGCUUGAGUCCGGGAGAGGUGAGUGGAACUGCGAGUGUAGAGGUGAAAUUCGUAGAUAUUCGCAAGAACACCAGUGGCGAAGGCGGCUCACUGGCCCGGUACUGACGCUGAGGUGCGAAAGCGUGGGGAGCAAACAGG